GCUAUUAUCAAGCCAAGAAUCUGUUUUUUCCCCGUGUUCUUCAUCUUCAACCUUGUCAGUAUUUUAUCAUAGACCGUCAGAUUAUCUGGCGGUCUUUUUGUAUCAAUGGUUUGUGGAUGCAAAUAAAGAAAAUCAGAAGAUCAAAUAUUGAAGAAGUGUCUGCUGACUGAUGAAUGACUGGACUCAGCAAUUCCUUUUUUU